CAAAGUGCUACGAUUAUAGGCGUGAGCCACAGCACCCCGCCUGCCUGGUUAACGUCUACUUAUCCUUCAUUCCUCAUAUCCCUCAAGACUCGGUUCAUAUAUCAACUUCCAUUUGUGCCUGAGCAUGUGGAGUCCAAUGCAGCCAAUCAGGAGACUCCCUCAUCCUUCUGGAAGAAGGGCACUACCACCCUCACUCAAAGAGUUUUCCUGGAACUAAGAAGCUGAACUUGCACGUCAUUAAAUGCUAAGAGACACUCCUGAGCACAGCCCAGGUCCUCAAGGAAUCGCCACACUAUCUCCCA